GGAAGGUGCAAGCGUUAAUCGGAAUUACUGGGGCGUAAAGCGCGCGUAGGCGGCUAGAUAAGUCGGGUGUGAAAGCCCUGGGGCUCAACCUGGGGAACUGCAUUCGAUACUGUCUAGCUAGAGUGUGAUAGAGGGAGGCGGAAUUCCGCAUGUAGCGGUGAAAUGCGUAGAGAUGCGGAGGAACACCAAUGGCGAAGGCAGCCUCCUGGAUCAACACUGACGCUGAGGCGCGAAAGCGUGGGGAGCAAACAGGAUUAGAUACCCUGGUAGUCCACGCCGUAAACGAUGUCAACUAGCCGUUGGGAGCAUUUUGGCUCUUGGUGGCGCAGCUAACGCGAUAAGUUGACCGCCUGGGGAGUACGGUCGCAAGAUUA
rnacentral:rRNA from 1 species